rnacentral:tRNA from 1 species
ACCCGGCUGGCUCAGUUGGAAGAGCAUGUGACUCUUGAUCUCAGGAUCAUGAGUUUGAACCCCAUGUUGGGGG